AAAAGACCUACAUCAGUACCUAUUUUUGCUAACCAAAAGAAACCCGAAGAGGAUUUUCACUUUUUGGAAAAAAGCCUCCUGUAACUCCUACCACCCCAACCUCGGACAACUCAGCCUAACACCCAUCUUCACCACCUCUCCACCUUCCAGUGUGUGCUCCCUGUCUUCCCGAUUCUGGAUGUAAGCAUUGGGGCCUGUGGAGGAAAAUCCUUCAAAGGUGACAGCAGGCUGAUGAGUGAACAUACCCGGGACUAUGAUGAAUGCAGCCUCUGGUCUGGAAAACAAGGAGGCUGUG